AUACUCUGGUUUCUCUUCAGACCGCAUAAAUCUUUCACCUUUUACUAAAGAUUUCCGUGGAGAGGAACAGGCACGAGUGUCGAGAAAUUUUUUGAGGCUCUGCUGUAUUUGGCGGGAGU
rnacentral:snRNA from 1 species